rnacentral:rRNA from 1 species
CUUGUACACACCGCCCGUCACACCAUGGGAGCGGGUUCUGCCAGAAGUGGUUGGCCUAACCGCAAGGAGGGCGUCCACCACGGCAGGGUUCGUGACUGGGGUG